UACAGAGGUCUCAAGCGUUGUUCGGAUUCAUUGGGCGUAAAGGGUGCGUAGGCGGCGCGGUAAGUCGGGUGUGAAAUCUCGGAGCUUAACUCCGAAACUGCAUUCGAUACUGCCGUGCUUGAGGACUGGAGAGGAGACUGGAAUUUACGGUGUAGCGGUGAAAUGCGUAGAUAUCGUAAGGAAGACCAGUGGCGAAGGCGGGUUGCUGGGCUGACACUGACGCUGAUUGUGCGAAAGCUAGGGGAGCGAACGGG
rnacentral:rRNA from 1 species